rnacentral:lncRNA from 1 species
GAGCACUCCUGGCUUUUUCAUUUCACUUGUCCAUCUUUUCCUCACUUCUGAGGUAUUGUUAUCUCUAAUAAAAGCACUUACACCUACUGCUGGUGGUUCUGUUUGUGAAAAAAAAAUGACAUUUCUGGCGCAUGAGAAUGGUCAUGUGAAGUCAGAGAAGACAUGUAACUCUCCUGAUUAAUGUAUUUGUAUAAUUAAUAAUUUUGUGGACUGCCUCUGGGGACUAAAAUGUAAUAAGAUUCAUGAACUGUAUGAUCAUCAAACUUCUCCAGUGAUCUCCUACCUUUACCGAUAUGCUCUGUCUCAUUUUGCCCUGCAAUAGAGAGGCUGUGACAGACAUCUCACUCAGAACAGCGUCAAAGAGCCCCGAAAGGCUUUAUUCCCUGGCUUCUUGCUCUGACAGUUGGCUGACUCUCUGAGAAAUGAGAAGUGGUAGAAAAUUCUCCUAAAGUAUUUCUGAAGACAAAGAAAAACUUGAGAAUUGUCUCGGAAGAUUUUUUCCACCUGAGCUGAACUGUUAAACCUGAUGUCUGACAGGUAAAUUAAUAAAAGAGGGUGGCUAGGUUCUGUCUGUUAGUAA